CCUACGGGAGGCAGCAGUGAGGAAUAUUGGUCAAUGGGCGCGAGCCUGACCCAGCAACGCCGCGUGAAGGAAGAAGGCUUUCGGGUUGUAAACUUCUUUUCUCAGGGACGAAGCAAGUGACGGUACCGGAGGAAUAAGCCACGGCUAACGACGGGCCAGCAGCCGCGGUAAUACGUAGGUGGCAAGCGUUCUCCGGAUUUACAGGGUGUAAAGGGCGUGGAGGCGGGACUGCAAGUCAGAUGGGAAAACCACGGGCUCAACCUGUGGCCUGCAUUGGAAACUGUCGUUCUUGAGUACUGGGGAGGCCGGCGUCAUUCCUCGUGUAGCGGUGACAUGCGUAGAUAUUAGGAGGCCCACCAGUGGCGAAGGCGGUCUGCUGGACAGCAACUGACGCUGCGGCGCGCCAGCGUGGGGAGCAACCAGGAUUAGCUACCCGAGUAGUC
rnacentral:rRNA from 1 species